rnacentral:rRNA from 1 species
AACGAACGCUGGCGGCGUGCUUAACACAUGCAAGUCGAACGCGAAAGGGACUUCGGUCCUGAGUAAAGUGGCGCACGGGUGAGUAACGCGUAGAUAACCUGUCUUCAUGUCUGGAAUAAUACGCCGAAAGGGGUACUAAUACCGGAUAUUCUUGCUUUUCAUAAGUUAUGCAAGCAAAGGUGGCCUCUGCAUAUGCUACUGCAUGAAGAGGGGUCUGCGUACCAUUAGCUAGUAGGUGGGGUAAUGGCCUACCUAGGCGACGAUGGUUAGCGGGUCUGAGAGGAUGAUCCGCCACACUGGCACUGGAACACGGGCCAGACUCCUACGGGAGGCAGCAGUGAGGAAUAUUGCGCAAUGGGGAACCCUGACGCAGCGACGCCGCGUGAGUGAGGGAAAGGGCCUUCGGGUCGUAAAGCUCUGUCAAGAGGAAAGAAGUGUACAAUGGCUAAUACCUGUUGUAUUUGACGGUACCUCUAAAGGAAGCACCGGCUAACUCCGUGCCAGCAGCAGC